UACAGAGGUGGCAAGCGUUGUUCGGAAUUACUGGGCGUAAAGCGUGCGCAGGCGGUUCGUGAUGUCUGGUGUGAAAGCCCCGGGCUUAACCUGGGAAUUGCAUUGGAAACUAGCGGGCUGGAGUGUGGCAGAGGGGGGUGGAAUUCCAGGUGUAGCGGUGAAAUGCGUAGAUAUCUGGAGGAACACCGGUGGCGAAGGCGGCAUCCUGGACCGACACUGACGCUGAUGAGCGAAAGCCAGGGGAGCAAACGGG
rnacentral:rRNA from 1 species